rnacentral:rRNA from 1 species
AAAAUGGAGAGUUUGAUCCUGGCUCAGGAUGAACGCUGGCGGUCUGCUUAACACAUGCAAGUCGAACGGGUUCUUUAGGGAACUAGUGGCGGACGGGUGAGUAACGCGUGAG